rnacentral:rRNA from 1 species
GUGGGGAAUCUUGCGCAAUGGGCGAAAGCCUGACGCAGCCAUGCCGCGUGAAUGAUGAAGGUCUUAGGAUUGUAAAAUUCUUUCACCGGGGACGAUAAUGACGGUACCCGGAGAAGAAGCUCCGGCUAACUUCGUGCCAGCAGCCGCGGUAAUACGAAGGGGGCUAGCGUUGCUCGGAAUUACUGGGCGUAAAGGGCGAGUAGGCGGACAGCUUAGUCAGAGGUGAAAGCCCAGGGAUCAACCUUGGAAUUGCCUUUGAUACUGGCUGUCUUGAGUUUGGGAGAGGUGAGUGGAACUCCGAGUGUAGAGGUGAAAUUCGUAGAUAUUCGGAAGAACACCAGUGGCGAAGGCGACUCACUGGCCCCAUACUGACGCUGAGGCGCGAAAGCGUGGGGAGCAAACAGGAUUAGAUACCCUAGUAGUCC